GGGGAAAUAAUAUAACGGUAGUAUACUGUGUUUGCACCACAGAAGCUCGAGUUCGAUUCUCGAUUUCUCCA